rnacentral:rRNA from 1 species
UACGUAGGGGGCAAGCGUUGUCCGGAUUUAUUGGGCGUAAAGAGCGUGUAGGCGGCCAAGCAGGUCCGCUGUGAAAACUCGAGGCUCAACCUCGAGACGUCGGUGGAAACCGUUUGGCUAGAGUCCGGAAGAGGAGAGUGGAAUUCCCGGUGUAGCGGUGAAAUGCGCAGAUAUCGGGAAGAACACCCGUGGCGAAGGCGGCUCUCUGGGACGGUACUGACGCUGAGACGCGAAAGCUAGGGGAGCAAACAGG